AAAAAAAAACACCAAAGUCAAUAAAACAUGAGAAAAUUAUUGAAUUGAAAAAAAAAAAAAAAAACAAAGGCUCUUUGAGCGGGAGACACUCGUUCGGUCGUUCCAUCUAAAAUUUUCCCCCCGUCCCUCCGUUCCGCUUCAGCGAAAGGGACUUCGUCCUUGGCAUUCUACGGUUACGGUGGUUGCUUAAAAGUGUAGCGAUGGCAGCCUCUUCACCUACUUGAGAAUCCGAAUAUGCCGCUUUUCCACAAUCAUCAACGGCAUAUCAAGUGAAGUACUCCAAGGUGCAAGGAAGAACAUGCUUAAGAUGACCAAAUUAGCACAUCCUGCAAUUGGAGACAGUGAGCUAUUGCAUUUCAGACUACAACAAGACUCAAAUGUAAGAGAUGAAUGUUUUACCACUGCUCCAGAUACCAAAAUAUAGAAAUAUGAUGGCAUCUCAUUUUGCAAGAUAAUGUCAACCUUAGGCGGCUAGAAGGGAAGAAAAUCUUUUACCAGUUGGGUGAUAAAAUGAUCAGAGACUCCUUUAAAUAAAUAUGCAUUUCCAACUAUGUCACGGAAAAGAUGCUGAGCGAUGCUCGAUCUAAUUGCCUUUGGCAAGUCCUGUAGCACUUGUUCUUGCUGUAGCGCUGCUGUUCUAAACUUCAACUGAACGUGUGCCAGCACUUGCUCUUUUAAGCCUUCUGGGAGUCUAUUUUUGCUUGCAUA